AGCGGCGGACGGGUGAGUAAUGCUUGGGAAUAUGCCUUAUGGUGGGGGACAACAGUUGGAAACGACUGCUAAUACCGCAUAACGUCUACGGACCAAAGGAGGGGAUUCUUCGGAACCUCGCCAUUUGAUUAGCCCAAGUGAGAUUAGCUAGUAGGUGAGGUAAGAGCUCACCUAGGCGACGAUCUCUAGCUGGUUUGAGAGGAUGAUCAGCCACACUGGGACUGAGACACGGCCCAGACUCCUACGGGAGGCAGCAGUGGGGAAUAUUGCACAAUGGGGGAAACCCUGAUGCAGCCAUGCCGCGUGUGUGAAGAAGGCCUUCGGGUUGUAAAGCACUUUCAGUUGUGAGGAAAGGGAUGUAGUUAAUAACUGCAUUCUGUGACGUUAACAACAGAAGAAGCACCGGCUAACUUCGUGCCAGCAGCCGCGGUAAUACGAGGGGUGCAAGCGUUAAUCGGAAUUACUGGGCGUAAAGCGUUCGUAGGCGGUUAUUUAAGCAAGAUGUGAAAGCCCAGGGCUCAACCUUGGAACUGCAUUUUGAACUGGGUAACUAGAGUACUGUAGAGGGUGGGGGAAUUUCCAGUGUAGCGGUGAAAUGCGUAGAGAUUGGAAGGACAUCAGUGGGCGACGCGCCACCUGGACAGAUACUGACGCUGAGACCGAAGCGUGUGAAGCGACAGGAUUAGAUACCCCUUUG
rnacentral:rRNA from 1 species